GAUAAAAAAAAGGAGGGAAAACAUAUGUUUUCCUUUAGCAAUUUUUGACUAGGUUGAUAAAUAUAUCAAAUUUAGUUUAGUAAUUUUAGGAUUUAGUAGUUUUUUUAGAUAUUCAGCUGGAGCUCCUAUUUGUUUGCACCUAGUUUUUUGCAAGUCGGCCAACAAAGCCGAAGUUGUUGGUUGCAAUGAAGAUUAUAACAUUUAAUGAUAAUUUUUGCUAUUAUUUCGUAUAAUUAUCAUCAUUAUUAUUGAGAUUUGCUGAGAUUCAUUAUUUGAUAAAUUGGUAUUAACAUCAAUACAUACCCAAUUUUGGAGCAACGACGAUAUAUGGCAGCAAAUGUUAAUCUAUGGUUAAUCGGAAGAAUUUAAGGGCGAUAUUUCAAGAUAUAUUCUCUCAAUUAGCAAAUCAAGGAGAAUGAGGUCAAUAUAACAAGAACUUAUGGGAGUUUAUUCAGUCAUUAAGACCGAAGUUCAUUUAAUUUGAUUGUAAUUCCCUUCCUUAACUUGAUUGUUUGUAAAUGUAUAAAUAUGACCUUCAACAUCAUUGUAAAGAGCCCUCCACAAACACAACUCGUGUCACAUCCCGGGACCCGCUCCGCCGUAACACGAUAUUGUCCGCUUUGGGCCCACCGGCCCUCACGGUUUUGUUUCCGGCAGCUCAGGAGCAGCUUCCCAGUAGGUCACCCAUCCUGGGAUUGCUCUAGCAUCAACAUGCUUAACCUCGGAGUACCCAUCCCCUCCGAAGCCGCUGAGCCACCAAAAGGCCUCGUAUUAGGUUGGUAGUGGGCAUGUACAUAUACAGCACAUAACCCCUCUCCGUUUGGCCGAUGUGGGAUAUUACAAUCCACCCCCCUUGGGAGUCCGACGCCCUCGUCGGCACACUCGCACCACACGGCAGAGUGGCUCUGAUACCAUUUGUCACAUCCCGGGACCCGCUCCGCCGUAACACGAUAUUGUCCGCUUUGGGCCCACCGGCCCUCACGGUUUUGUUUCCGGUAGCUCAGGAGCAGCUUCCCAGUAGGUCACCCAUCCUGGGAUUGCUCUAGCAUCAACAUGCUUAACCUCGGAGUACCCAUCCCCUCCGAAGCCGCUGAGCCACCAAAAGGUCUCGUAUUAGGUUGGUAGUGAGCAUGUACAUAUACAGCACAUAACCCCUCUCCGUUUGGCCGAUGUGGGAUAUUACAACUCGACUCAAUAUAAACAUCAAAUUCUUUACGAAUUCUCUACAAUAUCUAUUUUUUCAUUCAUGUUCUAGCCUUGUAGUUUUCUUCUUCUUUUUAUCGCUUUCUUAACUUUCUACAAUUUAUUUUCAUGCAAUUUACUCUUCCGCGUCUUUAAAUUACAUGCAAUUUAAUUUUUCUUGUUUACUUUAAUUUCCGUUACUUAAAGUUUCAUGCAAAUUAGAUUUUGUUCUUUUACUACUUCAAUUUUUGUUUUUUAAGUUUCAUGCAAUUUAGAUUUGGUUCUUUUAAUUUCCGCACUUUAGUUCUCGCAAAUCUAUAUCAGAAAACAAAAACAAAAAAAUAGAACCAUUAUCGAUGAAAAUGUCAAAAGUCCUUGCAACAAAGGCAAGAGAACCUAAAGGCCGAGACGGUUCUUUCCUCAACCUACAAUCACAUGGGAGAAGUCAGAUUGCGCACAAAAUUAAUCAAAAUCUCACUUGGCCAUUCGGCCGCGAGUUGGCACGCCUGCGCAAAUUUAAAGGACGAUUACGCUUCAAGUCCCUCGGCUCUCAUUUCGACCGAGACAAUUUUUAAGCAAACACUAUUCAUCCUAAAGUUGACAAAUUUUAGAAAAAUUUUGAAUUAAGUAUUCUGCUGGAGAUAAAGUGAGCAUGUUGUGAAUUUAAUUAAAUUUUAUAAAAUCUCUACUUUCUAAUUAAUCUAAAGGUGAUGCAGGACGAGAUUUUAGCCAAAUUCAGCAAAGAAUCUCGAAACCAAAAAAACGUCGUCACAUUAAUUAAGAAGAAUGAUUUGAAUAUUGGAAAUUGGUAUUCAAAUAGACUUCUUAAUGAUGAAAUUAACCGUAGAUUACUCUUUUGGUUAUAUCGGGAUUCUCGAGAAAAAAGAAAGAUUCUGGAUUUUGUAUCGGAUUAGAGCAGAUUUUGGCUAGGACGUCCGUUUGGAACGCAUUAUACCUUUCCGGAAUGGGAACGAUGAGAUCUACAAGGUGAGCCCCGUCAGAUUUAGGCUAAAAUAUGUCGGUUUGAUAAUCCGAUUCGACAUUUAGUAUUAUUAUAAGAUUUCUAGUUCUAAUAGGUUUUGUUAUUUUCUAGUUCUAUUCUAAAUAGGAUUUAGUCAGACGUUAGAGCCUAUAUAAAGGCACCCUCUAUGUUGUAUUAGACUCGACUAUUAUUCAAUCAAUCAAUCAAACUUAAGAGUUUUCUCUUAUUUUCUGGUUUAAAUCCAGAGUUUUAUCUAUGAGUUUACGCUUGUAACCUCUCCAUUGUUUCUAGGGUUUAACGCUUUUUAGCCCCCCUUAUUUCCCGCU
rnacentral:lncRNA from 1 species